rnacentral:rRNA from 1 species
AGUCUGCAACUCGACUGCACGAAGCUGGAAUCGCUAGUAAUCGCGGAUCAGCACGCCGCGGUGAAUACAUUCCCGGGCCUUGUACACACCGCCCGUCACACCAUGGAAGUCUGCAAUGCCCGAAGCCGGUGGCCUAACCACUUAUGUGGAAGGAGCCGUCUAAGGCAGGGCAGAUGACUGGGGUGAAGUCGUAACAAGGUAAC